GAAUUUUAUAUAAAUUUUAUUUAAUGUAUUAGUAAUUAGAGAGUAGGAUUUGUAUUUUAUUGGGAGGAUAAUUAAAUUAAAAGAACUUUAAUAAAUUUUUAAAGUCAUUGAUUUAUGGAAUGAUUGGGAGUGACUUUUAAGUCUAUAAAGAAUUAAUUACCUUAGGGAUAACAGCGUAAUAUCUUUAGAGAGAUCUUAUCGAUAAAGAUGAUUGU
rnacentral:rRNA from 1 species